AAAAAUCAGACCCAAAUGUUUUACAAUUGGUGGCACUUAGAGAAAACCAUACUUCAAUUUGCUUUUGCUAGUGAUAUAUGUAUUACUAUAAAGUAUAUGAACCUUUUGAUUUUUGACUUUCAUGGUGAGAUAGGGGUGAUAUUUCAUAUAUGAAACUGCCCUCAAACUGCUUUAUGGAAAGUAGUUCUCUAAGGAAAAAUUUGGGGUUGAAAAUUUUGCAAUGACCUAGAUUCAGUAUAUUAUGUGGGAUCUGUAGACACGUCAACUCCCAAUAAUUAUUUGAUGCACGGUGGUCUAAAUUAAAUAUUAGGUUGGGUCAAGAUUGAAGGGUGUAUGAUGGUUGGUUUCAUAUCAUAAUCUCCAAAUCGUUGGUUAGGGGAAGAAAACAUAAAGCCAUAUAAUAGAAAAUGUUGAGGGCUCAUUUAUUUAUUCCAUCGUGAAAAUUAGGACUCCUAUGGGGAUCCUAACCGCAAUAACAAGUAACCGAAAUAAGAAAACAAAAGAAGACGAGAAUCAGAGGGAGUUUAGUUUUGAGAGAGAGAGAGAGAGUUUAGGUGAGAAGGGAGAAAGAGGUCAGGACAUGGGAGCCACAACUAGUGUUCUAAAAAUUCCCGCCUAGACAUUAGGCAGUCUUAUACCGCCUUGAUUUGUCUAGGCAUCUAAACCUCCGCCUAGACAGAAUCAGACCUCUAAUUUGAAGCUCUACAAUACUUAAAUGAAUUUGCUAAGUCUUAAAAAAUUGUUUUUUAUCGUAAUGUUUCAUGUAAAAUUUUAAAAAAUUACACGUAUGUUGUAUGUUUUUGUAUAGUAUAACAAGUAAAUACAAUAAAAAAAUAAAUGAGAUCCCCUAAAGAAACGCCUAGUCUAGAAAACUCCUAUGCACCUCCUAGGUGGCUUAAGCGCCCCUCCACUGCCUUGGUCCACCAAACGAUUUUUAGAACACUGGCCACAACUUGUGAAGUCAUAUUCAUUUUCAUUUUUCACAUAUCUCCUGCAAUUACAGACUCUUGGACUAUUUAUAGAGAUUUGAAGUGGGUUCUCUAAUACUAGACUCCUUGCUACCUAUCUUGCAAAAUUCUUUUUAUAGCUCGAGUUUGGCAGAAAAUGUGGUUAUAUUGAGGAAGGAUCCAUCAUAGAAUAUAUGUGAUGCCAAAAAAGUUUUUUUGAGAUUUAAAUUGGCAUAAGUUGGGG
rnacentral:lncRNA from 1 species